GAUGUGGUAAGUUCUACCACAGCCAAAGUAGAUGGAUACUGCAGAUUUGGGGGCUGGGUGGUUCCCAAAGGAAGGGAUGCCAGGCAGAAAAAAAAAAAAACACAUGUCCAUAUGAACAGAUUUGAUGGGAUUUGGCCCACCCGCAGCUCUUUCUGGGUUGUAAUGAAUGGUGAUUUGAUGUGAUAGAAAUAGGGUCAAGGAGCCAGGAAACCUGGAAUUAGCUAUACGUUUUUGCUACUACCUGUGGGAGCUCUCUGAGCUUCAGACACCUUAUUUAUCAAAGGGAAAGAUUAAUCAUCACCUUACCUACCUCGGAUGAUUCUGCACAGGAAUGACCCACAGUCCAAUAUGAAGCAGCAGGAAGCACUGAAGUGGAUCCAGGCAGCCAUGGAAUUGCGAUCCUGCUGAAUCCCAGUUCAGGGCAGGGCCAGAGAAAGAAGCCAGCCCUGCUGCAGUGUGGAUUGAUUCUGUCAUCCUGCAACAGGAAAAGCAGGUCUGACCCCUCUGUUCCUUGGCUCCUGUUCCUACACCCUCACCGGGAAACAGAACCCUCUGGGCUUUUGCUCUCUCCCAGAUCUUCCCUGUUGAUGACUGGCCGUGAUAUCACUCAGUCCACUGCCAGAGAUUUGGGCUCUUGGGCUCUUCUGUCCCUCACUUGCACUUGCUGCGAUUUGCUCACACAUUUGGUGUUUGCUUAUUUCCCCUCUGCACAUUCUCUUCCCAAAUCUUGUCCCUUGGGGAGUUCUUUGGUCUCUUCCACUGUUCCAAGGGGGCAGGGCCAGACCUACAACUCAGACUGACCCCACAGUCAUGAACGUGAAUGCAGAGAGAAAUCCUCGAGAAGUGUCACAAAGCUACAGGCAGACGGACAAAUGGCAGGCUCUUUUAGGACAUCUCAGUUAGAAAGGGUAUUUAAAAUUAAGCCAA